rfam:Gossypium arboreum cultivar AKA8401 contig_90558_1, whole genome shotgun sequence.
UGUUGAAAAUUUUAUCUAUUUAUACUAUUAAAAACUAGCAUGACUAACGGAAUAAUCAAAUAGUGAUAUUUGAUGCGCCAUGUGUAGAUCAUGCUAACAUACAUGUAUUAGUUUUUAACAGUAAAAAUUAAUAAAAUCUUUACCA